AUUGAACGCUGGCGGCAGGCCUAACACAUGCAAGUCGAACGAGUGGCGGACGGGUGCGUAAUGUCUGGGAAACUGCCUGAUGGAGGGGGAUAACUACUGGAAACGGUAGCUAAUACCGCAUACCAUCCGAUGUUCCCAGAUGGGAUUAGCUAGUGGGUGGGGUAAUGGCUCACCUAGGCGACGAUCCCUAGCUGGUCUGAGAGGAUGACCAGCCACACUGGAACUGAGACACGGUCCAGACUCCUACGGGAGGCAGCAGUGGGGAAUAUUGCACAAUGGGGGAAAGCCUGAUGCAGCCAUGCCGCGUGUGUGAAGAAGGCCUUCGGGUUGUAAAGCACUUUCAGCGGGGAGGCGUUACUCGCAGAAGAAGCACCGGCUAACUCCGUGCCAGCAGCCGCGGUAAUUC
rnacentral:rRNA from 1 species